AUUGAACGCUGGCGGCAUGCCUUACACAUGCAAGUCGAACGGCAGCACGGGGCAACCUGGUGGCGAGUGGCGAACGGGUGAGUAAUGCAUCGGAACGUACCUUUCAGUGGGGGAUAACGUAGCGAAAGUUACGCUAAUACCGCAUAUUCUGUGAGCAGGAAAGCAGGGGAUCGCAAGACCUUGCGCUGAUUGAGCGGCCGAUGUCAGAUUAGCUAGUUGGUGAGGUAAAGGCUCACCAAGGCGACGAUCUGUAGCGGGUCUGAGAGGAUAAUCCGCCACACUGGAACUGAGACACGGUCCAGACUCCUACGGGAGGCAGCAGUGGGGAAUUUUGGACAAUGGGGGCAACCCUGAUCCAGCCAUGCCGCGUGAGUGAAGAAGGCCUUCGGGUUGUAAAGCUCUUUCGGCCGGGAAGAAAUCGCACGAGCUAAUACCCUGUGUGGAUGACGGUACCGGAAUAAGAAGCACCGGCUAACUACGUGCCAGCAGCCGCGGUAAAAC
rnacentral:rRNA from 1 species